GUGAUAUACCGCUCACGUGAGACAGGCCCGUCUGCCUAACACGUGUUAGAUGGUUGCUUCUACUCACUAUAUCAUUCUUUAUCAGGCAACCCCGUCUGCGUCUGGUACCGGUAUCAAACGCAAGAAGAAGAGAAUGUCUGAGUCACUGCCACCACAAAAAAAAGCCAGGAUUGGAGAGUUCCAAACUAUGGUGAAACGGUUCCGAGAGCAGAAUGAUGAUGAUGAUGAUGAUGAUCACCGCUGGUACUUCCGUAUGUCUGUUGCGAAGUUUGAUGAAUUGGUUUGUCACAUCACUCCAUUUAUCACCCACGAGAGCAUCCAGAGCAUACCUGUUGGUAUCGAUGAGAGACUUGCACUGACUUUGCACUUCCUGGCACAAGGAAGCUUUCUGGAUACUCUAUCAUCUAGGUACAAACUGGAACAGCGCACAAUAUCCAUGCUGAUUCCAGAGGUAUGCCAGGCCAUAUGGAAAAGUAUUCAGCCGGGCUUGGCAUUGGGCCUACCCAAGAAAGGCCGUGGAAAUCCCCAACGGUGGAGGGUUUUGAAGAGUGAUUAUUACAGUGCCACUGACAUUAAGAAAGCAUGUUUUGCUUUGAACACUUUCCUUAAGCACUGACGCCAGUCCGCUCAACUUUACUUAGUGACAAGGUCAGAUGGACGUGUGCGAGAUUAUAUUGCCAGUCUCGUAUCACAAUAUUGCCAAUGUUUUACAAAUGACAAUAGUCUAUAAAUUGUACAAAUGGGUUCUAAUAAACUUCCUGCCGAAA